CUGGGCGUAAAGCGCGCGUAGGCGGUUAAUUAAGUAGAUGUGAAAUCCCAGGGCUCAACCUUGGAACUGCAUUUGAAACUGGUUAACUAGAGUUUUGUAGAGGGUGGUAGAAUUUCAGGUGUAGCGGUGAAAUGCGUAGAGAUCUGAAGGAAUACCAGUGGCGAAGGCGGCCACCUGGACAAUAACUGACGCUGAGGCGCGAAGGCGUGGGGAGCAAACGGGAUUAGAUACCCCGGUAGUCCACGCAGUAAACGAUGUCUAUUAGAAUUUUGUGGCUAUAUGCCGUGGGAUUCAAAGCUAACGCAUUAAAUAGACCGCCUGGGGAGUACGGCCGCAAGGUUAAAACUCAAAUGAAUUGACGGGGGCCCGCACAAGCGGUGGAGCAUGUGGUUUAAUUCGAUGCAACGCGAAGAACCUUACCAUCCCUUGACAUCCAGAGAAUCACCUAGAGAUAGAUGAGUGCCUUCGGGAGCUCUGAGACAGGUGCUGCAUGGCUGUCGUCAGCUCGUGUUGUGAAAUGUUGGGUUAAGUCCCGCAACGAGCGCAACCCUUAUCCUUAUUUGCCAGCGGGUUAUGCCGGGAACUCUAGGGACACUGCCGGUGAUAAACCGGAGGAAGGUGGGGACGACGUCAAGUCAUCAUGGCCCUUACGGGAUGGGCUACACACGUGCUACAAUGGCAAAUACAAAGGGCUGCUAACCAGCGAUGGUAUGCGAAUCUCCUAAAGUUUGUCGUAGUCCCGGAUCGGAGUCUGCAACUCGACUCCGUGAAGUUGGAAUCGCUAGUAAAUCGUGGAUCAGAAUGCCACGGUGAAUACGUUCCCGGGCCUUGUACACACCGCCCGUCACACCAUGGGAGUGGGCUGAACAGAAGUAUUUAGCUUUAACCUUUCGGGAAUGGCGAUGACCACAGUGUGGUUUCAAUGACUUGGAGGUGAAGUCUUUUACAAGGGUACCC
rnacentral:rRNA from 1 species